rnacentral:rRNA from 1 species
CAAUAAGCGGAGGAAAAGAAACCAACAGGGAUUGCCCUUMGUAACGGCGAAGUGAAAGCGGCAACAGCUCAAAUUUGAAAUCUGGCUCUUUCAGAGUCCGAGUUGUAAUUUGCAGAGGGCGCUUUGGCUUUGGCAGCGGUCCAAGUUCCUUGGAACAGGACGUCACAGAGGGUGAGAAUCCCGUACGUGGUCGCUAGCUAUUGCCGUGUAAAGCCCCUUCGACGAGUCGAGUUGUUUGGGAAUGCAGCUCUAAAUGGGAGGUAAAUUUCUUCUAAAGCUAAAUAUUGGCCAGAGACCGAUAGCGCACAAGUAGAGUGAUCGAAAGAUGAAAAGCACUUUGGAAAGAGAGUCAAACAGCACGUGAAAUUGUUGAAAGGGAAGCGCUUGCAGCCAGACUUGCUUGCAGUUGCUCAUCCGGGCUUUUGCCCGGUGCACUCUUCUGCAGGCAGGCCAGCAUCAGUUUGGGCGGUGGGAUAAAGGUCUCUGUCACGUACCUCUCUUCGGGGAGGCCUUAUAGGGGAGACGACAUACCACCAGCCUGGACUGAGGUCCGCGCAUCUGCUAGGAUGCUGGCGUAAUGGCUGUAAGCGGCCCGUCUUGAAACACGGACCAAGGAGUCUAACAUCUAUGCGAGUGUUUGGGUGUCAAGCCCGAGCGCGUAAUGAAAGUGAACGGAGGUGGGAACCCGCAAGGGCGCACCAUCGACCGAUCCUGAAGUUUACGGAAGGAUUUGAGUAAGAGCAUGGCUGUUGGGACCCGAAAGAUGGUGAACUAUGCUUGAAUAGGGUGAAGCCAGAGGAAACUCUGGUGGAGGCUCGCAGCGGUUCUGACGUGCAAAUCGAUUCGUCAAAUUUGGGCAUAGGGGGCGAAAGACUAAUCGAACUAUCUAGUAGCUGGUCUGC